UUUGUAUCGGCAGCUCCUGUGAAAAGAAAACAAAACAUGCGGAAAGUCUUGUUCUCGGGGCAGGAUGUCGUCCCUUACAUCUCGCACGCCACAAGCCCUCCAAGAACUCUUUCACUGCCUCAAUCACUCGUCCACUCGUCUCUCCACUGAGCCCCAGCAGCAGCACCGGCUCAGGCCCAAAGAAGAAGAAGAGUAGAUUCAACGGAGCUGCCUGCAUAGCGACCUAAGCAUUACUUUUUCUCGUGUUUACCUUCAAACUACAAUGAAGAGAAGUUCCACAGCCUUUAAGAAGAAGGUGAAGGGUGCAGGGACGGCCAGGGAAAGUAAGGAAAGCUGCAGAGAAGCCUUCACAUGACGAAAGUGCCUCCACCACCGCUUCCACCACCACCACCACUACCACCAAGUCACCACACUAAGUUAGUCUUCUCCGUGGCCUCGGGAAGUGGUGGCAGCGUCAGCCUGAGACGAUUAGUACUGCAGCACGCGUACGUCCGGCUUCCCAAACCUCCGAGGGAGCUGCUCGUGCAACACACUGAGACUCGUCUGGAGCCCAGGAAGAAGCUUGGGUCUGAGUAUGAGUCGCUGAUGGAAGUGGCGGCGCUGUCAGCCAGAGUCCAGCUGGCCACCUCUCCGGGCCCAUAGUCGUGGGGGGCAUCUUGGCGGAGGGGACUGUAAGGGUUCAUGGAGCUCCUGGCUCAAAUUACAAGCAAAAGUACUUGAAGGGCGGGAACUUGAGGCUGCUGAGUACCCCCUUGGCCGAGGGAGGGCACCAGGCCUUCCUCACACUUGGCUUUACUCAGGUCAACCGCAAGAGUCUGGACUUCCAGAUCAAGUACGGGUCCAGCCUGCAGCACCUCCACGGGGUAGUGAGCCAGCUAAAGGCCCACCUGGAGCAGUCUGGCAGCCUCAGCGCCCUGCCGGUCGUGGAGUGAUUGUCUUGCUGUUUGGGUGACUUAGGAGGCUGGACAAGGGAAAGGGAAGGCAUGGUUAGGGUAGUGAUUGUCCUGCUGUUUGGGUGACUUAGGAGGCUGGACAAGGGAAAGGGAAGGCAUGGUUAGGGUAGUGAUUGUCCUGCUGUUUGGGUGACUUAGGAGGCUGGACAAGGGAAAGGGAAGGCAUGGUUAGGGUAGUGAUUGUCCUGCUGUUUGGGUGACUUAGGAGGCUGGACAAGGGAAAAGAAUGCAAUCAAAUGGUCACAACUUUUUAACCCUUUAAAUUGGGCACAGGCAGAGACUGACGCUGGGUGUGGGUGGAGCAGCUGGAUACAUGGACCUUGCUGGGUGUGUGAGUGCCUCCCAAAGAAGAGUUCCCAGCGCCACGGCUCCCAAGACCUCUGCCAAGCUGGGCAAUGUCAGUCUGGUCAUUGGACACAAGUCGCGGCAGGUGGCAAAAGUGGACGUGGCUGUGCCCCAUCAGGACGUCAUUGUCUCCAGUCAUGCGGUCCAGUGAGUCGCCACUCUACCGCACGGCACUGACCCCAAGGACGUCCCGAUCCACAGCAGGGACGUGGCCACCCCUGCCAAGCCCCUGGACACAGCCCCAAGUGUUCCCUGGUGGGCCAUACUCGCUGGGCUCCUCCUCCUCCUCCUCCUCCUCCUCCUCACCCUGCUGCCGUGGAAGGUGUCGGGUUCCUGCACAGGUGAACCAAGAUGGAGUCAUGGCUUUGGGGCGGCUUGCUAAACAGGUCAGAUGAGCCACAACGUGCGCAGGUCACAACAGGUCACCACAUGCGGGUCGGGGGUCACACAGCCACCGUUCACGACCUGACCCCUAAGAGUGGAUACCAGCUGUCUGGAGUGGACACAGAAGUGGAUUCCUUACAGCAUCGGGACUCCCUUUAAGAUCUCGGUCACCCUCGGAGUCUUGUCACUGGAAACUUCCCGAGGAGCUGCGUCGGCGCGUCACACUCCACCUCCAAGCUAACCCAGGACUGUCCCAGGCUGAGCUGCAUGACAUCCUAUACUAAGAUCGAACCCGCCUGCAACCUCAAGAUCAAGUACGGGUCACCCAAGCCUAGGAGACACCGUAGCCCUCGCCGAUCUAAGAGGCCUCAGCAUCACCAGACCUUGGGAGCAGCAGCAGCCCAGUGCCAACACCAGGCCACAAGACCCCAGGCUGCCCAGCACACUGCCAGUGCCGGGGAUCUUCAGACCCGUCUCCAGCCUUAGGGAAUGGAGGGCGGAGGGCUGCAGUGGCGGUGGCGGCUAUAGUAAUGUGUCAGCAAUAUUUUUUUCUGCCUCUAGGUGUGGUAGUCUUUCUUGGUGGUGGGUCCCGUCGGCCAGCCCCAGCCCUCUAUAGUGCAGGGAAGUGUUUAUAGUGGCGCCACCUUGCCUGGAUCACUUCUGAUCCCCUCUUUUAGAGAGAGAAUCUAGAGUCUGGGUUGACAGGCGUCCACCAUGACAGCAUGUGGGUAGUGUUGGGCCACUCGGCAGUGACUGAAAAAUACUGUCUGUGGUGGUGGGAGGGACCCAAACCCUCAUCCUGCACUGGUGGUCACUUUUUGUGUCAAUUAUUUAUUAUUACUAUUAUUAUUAUUAUUAUUAUUAUUAUUAUUAUUAUUAUUAUUAUUAUUAUUAUCUUUUUUAUGUCGUAGCCUAUAGCAGCGGCAGGCUUUGGUCAGUGGCCUGGCGGUGGGCCCGCGGUGUUUUCAGUGGCAGGGUUGUAAUUCCUGGGGCUGGAUAGAGAUUCCCAAAUAUCUUCUGCAUCGGCCUAAAAAUGCCCCGAAGAGUGCUGGGUUUUCAAAAAUUUCCCCCACCUGAGGAUGCCUUCUAGCCCCCAAAAAUAUCUGCCAAAAUUAGUCCUGAGUGGUGGUGGUGGUGGUGUUGAAAAUGUUAAUGACAGUGAUGAGAAGCAUUGUUAGGGGUGCUGGUGUGUAGUGAUGAAGUGGUGGUGAUGUCAGUCUGUGGUGGUGUUGAAAACUAGCCUCUUUUAAACGGUGAUGAGUGGUGGUGAACGGUGUUUACUGUACUGGUGGUGAUGCAAAUUGGUGUUGAUGGCCUUUGUGGAGGUGUUGAUGGCAGUGGUGAUGAAAUAUAGGCAUGUUUAGAGGUUCUGGUGUUGAUGGUGGAGGUACUUGUGUUGGUGGUGAUGAAAAUUGGUGUUAUAGUCCUGGUGGUGAUGAUCUCUAUACCUAAUGGUGUUGUAAAUAUGCAUCUUUAGUGGUGUGGCAGUGUUGAAGGCAGUGGUGAUGAAAAAUCGGUGUCUAGUGGUGUUGUGUGGUGGAGGUGAAACAUGCAUCAACACCAUUUUUGUCCAUUCCAAAAUUUCAUGUAUAUCUAUUGCAGUUCAUUUUUAUUUAUAUAUAUUUUUAUUACUUCAACAGGAAAGGAAUGAAGAGAGAGACAGGAGAGGAUAAAAAUAGCUUAAUCUAUCUAUCCCAAUCUAUUCUGCAAGGUGUACAAUAGGGAACAUUGUCUUUCAUUACACCCAGUCCUUCAGCUCUUAGGGAUGGCUCCAGAGUCCAGUCUUAGCAGUUAAGUCCCCAAAGUCUUGUUCAUGUUAUUUUAGUGCCAGUGAGUGCCUGCUUACAGUGCCAAAGUGACCCUUUCUGUCCCUUCCCUUCCUAGCUCAUGGGAAGGUUGGUGAGAGAGAGAGAGAGAGAGAGAGAGAGAGAGAGAGAGAGAGAGAGAGAGAGAGAGAGAGAGAGAGAGACUACAUACAUAGAAAAUCAGACCACACAGACCCCAUGGUCCAGACUAGGUGGUCUGUCCUUAAACCUAAGUGAUUCUACAUUAAUCAGAUGGCUCCAAAACGUUGCUUUUCUAUUCUAGUUAAUAUUAAGUUCAAGGAAGUGACGGUCGAGCUUGUUUUUAAAGGAGUCAAUCGUGUUGCAUGUUAUUACACGAGAGAGAGAGGGAGAGAGAGAGAGGGGUCGUUCAUUAUCAUAGCUAUUAUUAUUAUUAGUAAGGGAGUCUAGUUGGUCAUUAUUAGCAUUUCCUAUCUCCCAUUUCCUUAUAUUGAUAAAAUUUGUAUUUGUUUUGCAGAUUUGAGUCAACAGCAGGAAGACAAAGGAGGAAGAAGGAGGAGGAAGUGAUAAUAAGAGGAAUAGCAUAAGAAGAACAAGAAUUAGAACAGUAGUAAUAGUAUUUUCCUCUACACAUUCUCUCUCUCUGACACACACACACACACACACACAGAAAACACUUGAAAAUUCUUUAUUUCUAAUGUUUAUUAAUUUAUAUUCUUACAUCAAUUUCCAAGUCAGUCUUAAUAGUACAUACAACACGAACAUAUACAUACAUAAGUGUUUUAUACUCCCGUUUGGUUCCUUCUUCUUCUUCUGCUCAGUUCAUUGUAUUCCUUCCUUCCUGUUCUAUUUCUUCCCUCUCUUCCUCUCCAUUCCUUCCUCAUAUCUGCUUCCUUCCCAUUCUAUUUUUCUAUCUCUUCAGACUCCUAUUCAUUAGGUUUUUAUCCAUUUUCCUUUCAUUACACACACACAUAUUUGAGGCAUUUGGAGGGGAGGGGACGUAAGGGAAAGGCCCAUUGUGUUCUAGUCUGCACUGGGAAAGGAAGGUCUGGCUAUUCUAUGCAUUCCAGGAAGAAUAAGAUGAGAAACAAGUUGCAAGGGAAAAGCAACCUUGUGUUGGGCGUACCAAGAGUUGCCUUACCCUUGUAACUUGUGUUUUGUUCCUCCUGGGAUGUGUAGGAUAGCCAGACUCUCCCUUCCCAGUACAAACUAGGAAAAAAUAGGACUGUUCCUUAUGUCCCGCCUCCUCUGAAAGCCUCAAAUAUACAGUUACAGAUGACUGUACUUUACACAUUAACCUUGUAUAUAUUUCCUUUUUCUCAUCUCUGUUUAACUUCCUUAUUUAUCACUCAAGUUCUUUCUCCCUCCCUUUCAUGCAUCUUUCUUCAUCUGUUUACCUGUCUACUCCUUCCUUGGUCUCUCUCUCUCUCUCUCUCUCUCUCUCUCUCUCUCUCUCUCUCUCUCUCUCUCUCUCUCUCUCUCUCUCUCUC